rnacentral:tRNA from 1 species
ACCCAACCGGCUCAGUCAGUAGAGCACGCGACUCUUGAUCUUGGGGUUGUGAGUUUGAACCUCACAUUGGGUG